rnacentral:rRNA from 1 species
CACGGGGGUUGCGAGCGUUGUCCGGAAUUAUUGGGCGUAAAGGGUUCGCAGGCGGCCUUGUAAGUCAGAUGUGAAAGACAGCGGCUUAACCGUUGUAAGCAUUUGAAACUGCGGGGCUUGAGUACAGGAGAGGAAAGCGGAAUUCCUAGUGUAGCGGUGAAAUGCGUAGAUAUUAGGAGGAACACCAGUGGCGAAGGCGGCUUUCUGGACUGAUACUGACGCUGAGGAACGAAAGCGUGGGGAGCAAACAGGAUUAGAUACCCUGGUAGUCCCUGA